rnacentral:rRNA from 1 species
UACGUAGGGUGCAAGCGUUGCCCGGAUUUAUUGGGCGUAAAGGGCGCGUAGGCGGCUCGGCACGUCCGUCGUGAAAUCGCCCGGCUCAACUGGGCGGGGUCGGCGGAUACGGCCGAGCUGGAGCAAGCUAGGGGGUAAUGGAAUUCCCGGUGUAGUGGUGGAAUGCGUAGAUAUCGGGAGGAACACCAGUGGCGAAGGCGGUUACCUGGAGCUUUGCUGACGCUGAUGCGCGAAAGCGUGGGGAGCGAUCCGG